rnacentral:lncRNA from 1 species
GUCUGUGCAUAUGCUAGUCUGAAAGCAGUAAUCCACUUUACCAAAUCAAGUUAUUUUUAAAAAAUUUUCUGGGAACUGAAGCUGCUGUACCUUUUUCUAAGGUUUCUAAAUAAUAAACAUUUGAAUUUGGUUCUGUGAAAUGAAAUUAUUCUGUUGAGGAGGACGGUUGCUGGUUUGUUCCAGUCUACAGCUGAGAGAGGCUUUCCCACUCAAUCUCUUCUUUUAUGCCAUUUCUUGGAUUUGCAGGUCUCUCUUCUGUCUCCCACUCUUCAAACUUUCUGGACCUCUACACUCUACUUGGUAUUUUCUCAAUUGUUUGUGUGUUAAUGCUGCCGAGAGGGAAAAAUUCCUAAAAGAAGGAGAGGCAAUUUGACUGUGCUGUUUUGUGCUUGCACCUGGGUGACUGGUGGCUGACCAUCCAGCAAGUGGGUAAACAAAAAGCCACAAGCAGUCCUGGAAAAUGGAAACUCUGCCCCUUUAUCUGUUACAAAGCUGCACCAGUCUGCUGAGUGCAAAAAAUGCAUUGUUCAGUAAACCCAGCGAAGACCAUAAGAAGCAGCCUUCUGCAGCACAGCCCAUCAUGUCACUGAUCAGAUGGCUUCAGCAGCACCAGUUCAACACAUCACAUGGCCGUGGGGGGUUUCUGGUCACCCCCUCUCACUAAGAGGAGCUCCUAUCAUUGGCCUAAUGACUGCAGGCUAUCUAUGUUGCUAGGUUGAGUAGUAGCUGAACAGCUC